UACGUAGGGGGCAAGCGUUGUCCGGAAUCAUUGGGCGUAAAGAGCGUGUAGGCGGCUUGGUAAGUCCGCUGUGAAAGUCCAGGGCUCAACCCUGGAAUGCCGGUGGAAACUGUCAAGCUUGAGUCCGGAAGAGGCGAGUGGAAUUCCUGGUGUAGCGGUGAAAUGCGCAGAUAUCAGGAGGAACACCGAUGGCGAAGGCAGGUCUCUGGGCUGACACUGACGCUCAUGCACGAAAGCGUGGGGAGCAAACAGG
rnacentral:rRNA from 1 species